UACGAGGGGGGCGAGCGUUGUUCGGAGUUAUUGGGCGUAAAGGGUGCGUAGGCGGUUUGGUAAGUCUUGUGUGAAAUCUACAGGCUCAACUUGUAGUCUGCACGAGAAACUGCCGGGCUUGAGUGUGGGAGAGGUGAGUGGAAUUCCUGGUGUAGCGGUGAAAUGCGUAGAGAUGCGGAGGAACACCGAUGGCGAAGGCAGCCCCCUGGGUCGACACUGACGCUCAGGCACGAAAGCGUGGGGAGCAAACAGG
rnacentral:rRNA from 1 species